rnacentral:rRNA from 1 species
CCCUUAGAUGUCCGGGGCCGCACGCGCGCUACACUGAAGGAAUCAGCGUGGCUUUCUCCCUGACCCGAAAGGGUUGGGAAACCCGUUGAAUCUCCUUCGUGAUAGGGAUUGGGGCUUGAAAUUGUUCCCCAUGAACGAGGAAUUCCCAGUAAGCGCGAGUCAUAAGCUCGCGUUGAUUACGUCCCUGCCCUUUGUACACACCGCCCGUCGCUCCUACCGAUCGAGCGAUCCAAUGAAUGUUUCGGAGCGGAACUGAGAUGCUAAUGCGUCUCUUUUACGCGAAUUUGUGUGAAUUUGAUCGCUUAGAGGAAGGAGAAGUCGUAACA